AUAGAAUGGAAUAAUGAAAACAUGGAUACAACUAUCAGCUGAUGUAAACUGUUGUCACUGCACUGAAGUUGAUGGUUUUCCACCCUGGAAUUUUUCUGAACCUCAGUUUCUCUGAAGACGUAUGCUGCGGCACAUGUUCCUGGGCACCUUACUGCACCUCCUACUACAUGAUCCAGAUGCUGUUUGAAAGAAAUUCAAAGCAUUGGGGAGCAUACGUAUCAUAAGAAAAUGGACUGAGAAGAAACAAGAAGGAGGUCAAACGCUAAAAACAAUGCCAAUUAUGGAAAAUUAUCAGCUAUGUAAAACCUUUUAUUUCUGUCUGUGGCACA
rnacentral:lncRNA from 1 species